UGCCAGUGCAAAGUAACAGUCCUUUGUUGCUAGAGCAUGUUGCUAGGAAACAAAGGAACCAGUGUUGGCUGACAAGAUGCCUUCAUGGGGCCAAUGCAUGGUUUUCACCACUGUUGGCGAAGAGUAGCCUUGCCAUGGCAGGAACCAGUGCCCCAAAGUCUUCUGAGAGCUCUACAGGUCAGGAAAGGGGAGCCUUGCCCAGAUGGAAAACUCUUGCUUCCCCAUAUAAAACAAGGCAUGAGGCACACAACUGAACAGAAGGAAACACAUGUGAGUGAGCAGCUUAGGGACUUCUGAGCCUCUAUCUUUGGAGAAGCUUCUCCUGGAUGCAUGCAUCGCCUCUGUCAGGAGUCAGAACAAUAUUUAGUAUGCAACUAACAGCUGCCUUGUCUUUACUGGAGUGGCUAAAGCACACUGGGAAAUAACAUUCUAAUAUCCGAUUCAUUGAGCUGCACCUAUUUGUAAUGCAUUAGACUGGAAAAGCAAUCAAAAUAAAACUGAAACAAAAGCUUAGUACUUCACCACAGAUGGUUCGAGAAGCACUGUUCCACCGGAUUAAACGAAAUCAAUGGUUUUCAAACCAUGUAGUGUCAAGUGCCCCAAGUAUUGAAGAUUAAUCGAGUAAGAAAGAACUCAAUGAAAUCCCACUGGUCUGAAGUUAGUCGAGUGAGCGUAUGUCUUACAUGAUUGCCGGGAAACAUAGUCAAUCAAAGCAUAUUUUGGCAUGCAUGCAGAGGACACUUCAGCUCCCAGAGUUGUUCUCACAUCAAACAGGCCUGAGGUCACAAAGUCACCUCUGACAUUAAUGGAAUGGGGAAGCAUUCUCAGGAAGAGGAGCUACAGAAAAGGGAAUUGGAAUAAACUAACAGUGACACAGUCGACCACAUCGGAAGGAGCCUAGGCUUUAUCAUGGGGCCAUGGAAAGCCAGGGAACAAUCGUAAACAGAAAUGCAUUUAAAGUUUCAGAUGUUGCCAAGGAGGAUACUGCACAAAGGAGAACUUCCCUCUUACCAUAGCACAACAGGGACUCACAGAGACAGUGGAUAAAAGAAUUUCUUCCAGAAAUAAGAAACCGUGCGUAAACUGAAACGGAGAGCUGUUAUCCUUGCAAGGCCAUACAGCUAGGACUUCAUCAUCCCUACGAAGUAAAAAGUGCUGAGUGACCCCAAUGCCUUGCUUGACUCAAGUUUAUUGUUGCUGUUUGUUUCUGUUUUGAUAAUGGUUUUACCUUGCUCUAGCUCCACUCCUACGUAUUCGGAGGUUUGGUGCAGCAGGCACUUAUCUAUUUUAGCUCACAGUUUGCUGCCCCCAAAAGAACCACAUCCAGAUCUUACGGAGACAACUCUUCAUGACCUAGACUUUAAAUUGGAUGCAAUUAUAAGAGAAAUUUUAGACCUUAUUUAUUGCCAUGAUAUUAUGGUAAAUGAGGAUCAUCAUUGUUUCAACCCCUCAUUUCCUUGUCCCUCGAUUCCAUAGAUGGCUGUUUUAUCCUACAUCAAUUCAUCUUUUCUAAGUUGUGAUUAUCUUCCACAUUCUUUCUUUGCAAGUUGAAGUUUCAAGGAAAAGUUUGCUCUCCGAUUUUAGUAAACCUGCUUAGCCACCACACCACUUUGGCUAUUUUAUUAUAAUGAUGGUAAGUUAGAUCAUUUCAUACCCAAAUAUGUUGAUGUUUCCAUAUAUCACAUACACUUCAAUUUAAACUGCCUGAUUUUUUUGUCC
rnacentral:lncRNA from 1 species